UCUGCGGCUGUUACUGCUGCUGCUGCAUGGCCUGCACUGCUUCGGUGAGGCCUCUAACCUGCUGGGCCAGCAGGUCGAACUGUUCUAUGCCGACCACCGUUGUCGGAGGAGGAGGAGGAGCCUGAAAAAUUAGAGGCGAGGUCGGAGCCUGAGAUCUGGCCGCGGAGACUGUGGAUCGCCUGGUGGAUGCCUUUCGGGGAGACAUCGGGUGGAGAUCUAGUAGGGGA
rnacentral:lncRNA from 1 species